AUUGAACGCUGGCGGCAUGCCUUACACAUGCAAGUCGAACGGUAACAGGUCUUCGGAUGCUGACGAGUGGCGAACGGGUGAGUAAUACAUCGGAACGUGCCUAGUAGUGGGGGACAACUACUCGAAAGAGUGGCUAAUACCGCAUGAGAUCUACGGAUGAAAGCAGGGGAUCGCAAGACCUUGUGCUACUAGAGCGGCCGAUGGCAGAUUAGGUAGUUGGUGGGAUAAAAGCUUACCAAGCCGACGAUCAGUAGCUGGUCUGAGAGGACGAUCAGCCACACUGGGACUGAGACACGGCCCAGACUCCUACGGGAGGCAGCAGUGGGGAAUUUUGGACAAUGGGCGCAAGCCUGAUCCAGCAAUGCCGCGUGCAGGAUGAAGGCCUUCGGGUUGUAAACUGCUUUUGUACGGAACGAAAAGCCCCGGGUUAAUACCCUGGGGUCAUGACGGUACCGUAAGAAUAAGCACCGGCUAACUACGUGCCAGCCGCCGCAGUAA
rnacentral:rRNA from 1 species